AGAGUUUGAUUCUGGCUCAGGAUGAACGCUAGCGACAGGCUUAACACAUGCAAGUCGAGGGGCAGCAUAAAAGUAGCAAUACUUUGGUGGCGACCGGCGCACGGGUGAGUAACGCGUAUGCAACCUACCUAUCAGAGGGGAAUAACCCGGCGAAAGUCGGACUAAUACCGCAUAAAACAGGGGCACCGCAUGGUGAUAUUUGUUAAAGAAAUUCGCUGAUAGAUGGGCAUGCGUUCCAUUAGGUAGUUGGUGAGGUAACGGCUCACCAAGCCGACGAUGGAUAGGGGAACUGAGAGGUUGGUCCCCCACACUGGUACUGAGACACGGACCAGACUCCUACGGGAGGCAGCAGUGAGGAAUAUUGGUCAAUGGGCGGGAGCCUGAACCAGCCAAGUCGCGUGAAGGAAGAAGGAUCUAUGGUUCGUAAACUUCUUUUGCAGGGGAAUAAAGUGCAGGACGUGUCCUGUUUUGUAUGUACCCUGAGAAUAAGGAUCGGCUAACUCCGUGCCAGCCGCAGC
rnacentral:rRNA from 1 species